rnacentral:SRP_RNA from 1 species
GCCAGGCAUAGUGGCAUGUGCCUGUAGUCCCAGCUACUCAGGAGGCUGAGGCAGGAGAAUCACUUGAACCCAGGAGGUGGAGGUUGCAGUGAGCCAAGAUGUGCCACUGCACUCCAGCCUGGGUGACACAGUGAGACUCUGUCUCAA